CACUAUCGUUAACUGAAUACAUAGGUUAACGAGGCGAACCGGGGGAACUGAAACAUCUAAGUACCCCGAGGAAAAGAAAUCAACCGAGAUUCCCCCAGUAGCGGCGAGCGAACGGGGAGCAGCCCAGAGUCUGAAUCAGCUUGUGUGUUAGUGGAACGGUCUGGAAAGUCCGACGGUACAGGGUGAUAGUCCCGUACACCAAAAUGCACAGGUUGUGAACUCGAAGAGUAGGGCGGGACACGUGGUAUCCUGUCUGAAUAUGGGGGGACCAUCCUCCAAGGCUAAAUACUCCUGACUGACCGAUAGUGAACCAGUACCGUGAGGGAAAGGCGAAAAGAACCCCGGCGAGGGGAGUGAAAAAGAACCUGAAACCGUGUACGUACAAGCAGUGGGAGCACCUUCGGGUGUGACUGCGUACCUUUUGUAUAAUGGGUCAGCGACUUAUAUUCUGUAGCAAGGUUAACCGUAUAGGGGAGCCGCAGGGAAACCGAGUCUUAACUGGGCGUUAAGUUGCAGGGUAUAGACCCGAAACCCGGUGAUCUAGCCAUGGGCAGGUUGAAGGUUGGGUAACACUAACUGGAGGACCGAACCGACUAAUGUUGAAAAAUUAGCGGAUGACUUGUGGCUGGGGGUGAAAGGCCAAUCAAACCGGGAGAUAGCUGGUUCUCCCCGAAAGCUAUUUAGGUAGCGCCUCGUGAACUCAUCUUCGGGGGUAGAGCACUGUUUCGGCUAGGGGGUCAUCCCGACUUACCAACCCGAUGCAAACUACGAAUACCGAAGAAUGUUAUCACGGGAGACACACGGCGGGUGCUAACGUCCGUCGUGAAGAGGGAAACAACCCAGACCGCCAGCUAAGGUCCCAAAGUCAUGGUUAAGUGGGAAACGAUGUGGGAAGGCACAGACAGCCAGGAUGUUGGCUUAGAAGCAGCCAUCAUUUAAAGAAAGCGUAAUAGCUCACUGGUCGAGUCGGCCUGCGCGGAAGAUGUAACGGGGCUAAACCAUGCACCGAAGCUGCGGCAGCGACACUAUGUGUUGUUGGGUAGGGGAGCGUUCUGUAAGCCUGCGAAGGUGUGCUGUGAGGCAUGCUGGAGGUAUCAGAAGUGCGAAUGCUGACAUAAGUAACGAUAAAGCGGGUGAAAAGCCCGCUCGCCGGAAGACCAAGGGUUCCUGUCCAACGUUAAUCGGGGCAGGGUGAGUCGACCCCUAAGGCGAGGCCGAAAGGCGUAGUCGAUGGGAAACAGGUUAAUAUUCCUGUACUUGGUGUUACUGCGAAGGGGGGACGGAGAAGGCUAUGUUAGCCGGGCGACGGUUGUCCCGGUUUAAGCAUGUAGGCUGGUUAUCCAGGCAAAUCCGGAUAAUCAAGGCUGAGGUGUGAUGACGAGGCACUACGGUGCUGAAGUAACAAAUGCCCUGCUUCCAGGAAAAGCCUCUAAGCAUCAGGUAACAUCAAAUCGUACCCCAAACCGACACAGGUGGUCAGGUAGAGAAUACCAAGGCGCUUGAGAGAACUCGGGUGAAGGAACUAGGCAAAAUGGUGCCGUAACUUCGGGAGAAGGCACGCUGGUGUGUAGGUGAAGUCCCUGCGGAUGGAGCUGAGACCAGUCGAAGAUACCAGCUGGCUGCAACUGUUUAUUAAAAACACAGCACUGUGCAAACACGAAAGUGGACGUAUACGGUGUGACGCCUGCCCGGUGCCGGAAGGUUAAUUGAUGGGGUUAUCCGUAAGGAGAAGCUCUUGAUCGAAGCCCCGGUAAACGGCGGCCGUAACUAUAACGGUCCUAAGGUAGCGAAAUUCCUUGUCGGGUAAGUUCCGACCUGCACGAAUGGCGUAAUGAUGGCCAGGCUGUCUCCACCCGAGACUCAGUGAAAUUGAACUCGCUGUGAAGAUGCAGUGUACCCGCGGCAAGACGGAAAGACCCCGUGAACCUUUACUAUAGCUUGACACUGAACAUUGAGCCUUGAUGUGUAGGAUAGGUGGGAGGCUUUGAAGCGUGGACGCCAGUCUGCGUGGAGCCAACCUUGAAAUACCACCCUUUAAUGUUUGAUGUUCUAACGUUGGCCCCUUACCGGGGUUGCGGACAGUGUCUGGUGGGUAGUUUGACUGGGGCGGUCUCCUCCCAAAGCGUAACGGAGGAGCACGAAGGUUAGCUAAUCCUGGUCGGACAUCAGGAGGUUAGUGCAAUGGCAUAAGCUAGCUUGACUGCGAGCGUGACGGCGCGAGCAGGUGCGAAAGCAGGUCAUAGUGAUCCGGUGGUUCUGAAUGGAAGGGCCAUCGCUCAACGGAUAAAAGGUACUCCGGGGAUAACAGGCUGAUACCGCCCAAGAGUUCAUAUCGACGGCGGUGUUUGGCACCUCGAUGUCGGCUCAUCACAUCCUGGGGCUGAAGUAGGUCCCAAGGGUAUGGCUGUUCGCCAUUUAAAGUGGUACGCGAGCUGGGUUUAGAACGUCGUGAGACAGUUCGGUCCCUAUCUGCCGUGGGCGCUGGAGAAUUGAGGGGGGCUGCUCCUAGUACGAGAGGACCGGAGUGGACGCAUCACUGGUGUUCGGGUUGUCAUGCCAAUGGCACUGCCCGGUAGCUAAAUGCGGAAGAGAUAAGUGCUGAAAGCAUCUAAGCACGAAACUUGCCCCGAGAUGAGUUCUCCCUGAGACUAUAAGUCUCCUGAAGGAACGUUAAAGACGAUGACGUUGAUAGGCCGGGUGUGUAAGCGCAGCGAUGCGUUGAGCUAACCGGUACUAAUGAACCGUGAGGCUUAACCUU
rnacentral:rRNA from 1 species